UGGCUCACCAAGCCAAUGACGGGUAGCCGGUGUGAGAGCAUGACCGGCCACAAGGUAACUGAGACACGGUGCCUACACCUACGGGUGGCAGCAACUGGGAAUAUUGCGCAAUGGACGAAAGUCUGACGCAGCGACACCGCGUGUGGGAAGAAGCUUUUCGGAGUGUAAACCACUGUGGCAGGGGAACAAUUUUGAGCGUACCCUGCUAGAAAGCACCUGCUAACUACGUGCCAGAAGCCUCGGUAAUACGUAGGGUGCAAGCAUUAUCCGGAUUUACUGGGCGUAAAGCGUUCCGUCGGCGGUUUAUCAAGUUUCAUCUUUAAUACUGGGGCUCAACCCCAGAUACAGGAUGGAAAACUAGUAGACUAGAGUUUACUAUGGGGAGCUGGAAUUCUCGGUGGAGGGGUGAAAUCCGUAGAUAUCGAGAGGAACACCAUUCGCGAAGGCGAGCUCCUAGGGUAACACUGACGCUCAGGGACGGAAGCUUGGGUAGCAAAAGGGAUUAGAGACCCCUGUAGUCCAAGCCGUAAACAUUCCUUGCUAAUUGCUUGGUCCUUUAUGGAUUGAGUGAUGUAAGCUAACGCGUUAAGCAAGGCGCCUGGGGAUUACGAUCGCAAGAUUAAAACUCAAAGGAAUUGACGGGGGAGCGCACAACCGGUGGAGCAUGUGGUUUAAUUCGAUACAAAGCGAAAAACCUUACCUGGGUUUGACAUGUACCUGCACGGCUUAGAAACUAAGUCUUCUUCGAGAGUGGUACACAGGUGUUGCAUGGCUGUCGUCAGCUCGUGUCGUGAGGCGUCCACUUAAGU
rnacentral:rRNA from 1 species